AUUGAACGCUGGCGGCAGGCCUAACACAUGCAAGUCGAACGGUAACAGGAAGCAGCUUGCUGCUUUGCUGACGAGUGGCGGACGGGUGAGUAAUGUCUGGGAAACUGCCCGAUGGAGGGGGAUAACUACUGGAAACGGUAGCUAAUACCGCAUAACGUCGCAAGACCAAAGAGGGGGACCUUAGGGCCUCUUGCCAUCGGAUGUGCCCAGAUGGGAUUAGCUAGUAGGUGGGGUAACGGCUCACCUAGGCGACGAUCCCUAGCUGGUCUGAGAGGAUGACCAGCCACACUGGAACUGAGACACGGUCCAGACUCCUACGGGGGGCAGCAGUGGGGAAUAUUGCACAAUGGGCGCAAGCCUGAUGCAGCCAUGCCGCGUGUAUGAAGAAGGCCUUCGGGUUGUAAAGUACUUUCAGCGGGGAGGAAGGGAGUAAAGUUAAUACCUUUGCUCAUUGACGUUACCCGCAGAAGAAGCACCGGCUAACUCCGUG
rnacentral:rRNA from 1 species